rnacentral:rRNA from 1 species
AGUGAACGCUGGCGGUAGGCCUAACACAUGCAAGUCGAACGGCAGCACAGUAAGAGCUUGCUCUUACGGGUGGCGAGUGGCGGACGGGUGAGGAAUACAUCGGAAUCUACUUUUUCGUGGGGGAUAACGUAGGGAAACUUACGCUAAUACCGCAUACGACCUACGGGUGAAAGCAGGAGAUCUUCGGACCUUGCGCGAUUGAAUGAGCCGAUGUCGGAUUAGCUAGUUGGCGGGGUAAAGGCCCACCAAGGCCACGAUCCGUAGCUGGUCUGAGAGGAUGAUCAGCCACACUGGAACUGAGACACGGUCCAGACUCCUACGGGAGGCAGCAGUGGGGAAUAUUGGACAAUGGGCGCAAGCCUGAUCCAGCCAUACCGCGUGGGUGAAGAAGGCCUUCGGGUUGUAAAGCCCUUUUGUUGGGAAAGAAAAGCAGCAGGUUAAUACCCCGCUGUUCUGACGGUACCCAAAGAAUAAGCACCGGCUAACUUCGUG